rnacentral:rRNA from 1 species
GGUGACGUCAAGUCAUCAUGGCCCUUACGGCCUGGGCUACACACGUGCUACAAUGGUCGGUACAAAGGGUUGCCAAGCCGCGAGGUGGAGCUAAUCCCAUAAAACCGAUCGUAGUCCGGAUCGCAGUCUGCAACUCGACUGCGUGAAGUCGGAAUCGCUAGUAAUCGUGAAUCAGAAUGUCACGGUGAAUACGUUCCCGGGCCUU